rnacentral:rRNA from 1 species
AGUAAAUAGAUACCCUGGUAGUCCCAGCUGUAAACGAUGCGCGUUAGGUGUAUCGGUGACUACGAGUUACCGAGGUGCCGAAAGAGAAAUCGUGAAACGUGCCGCCUGGGAAGUACGGUCGCAAGGCUGAAAACUUAAAGGAAUUGGCGGGGGAGCACCACAACGGGUGGAGCCUGCGGUUUAAAUUGGACUCAACGCCGGGAAGCUCACCGGGUAAGACAGCGGAAUGAUCGCCGGGCUGAAGACUCUGCGUGACCAGCUGAGAGGAGGUGCAUGGCCGUCGUCAGUUCGUACUGUGAAGCAUCCUGUUAAGUCAGGCAACGAGCGAGACCCACGCCACCAGUUGCCAGCAUGUCCUCCGGGAUGAUGGGGACACUGGUGGACCGCUCUGCUAAAGAGGAGAGGAAUGGGCACGGUAGGUCAGCAUGCCCCGGAAUUACCCGGGGCUACACGCGGGCUACAAUGGACAGGACAAU